UGUGUAGGCGGCUACGAAAGUCGGAUGUGAAAGCCCCGGGCUCAACCCGGGAAGUGCACCCGAAACUGCGUGGCUCGAGUACCGGAGAGGUUGGUGGAAUUCUCGGUGUAGAGGUGAAAUUCGUAGAUAUCGAGAGGAACACCGGUGGCGAAGGCGGCCAACUGGACGAGUACUGACGCUGAGACACGAAAGCGUGGGGAGCAAACAGGAUUAGAUACCCUGGUAGUCCACGCCGUAAACGAUGGGUGCUAGGUGUCACGGGCUUUGACUCCUGUGGUGCCGUAGCCAACGCAUUAAGCACCCCGCCUGGGAAGUACGGCCGCAAGGCUAAA
rnacentral:rRNA from 1 species